rnacentral:rRNA from 1 species
UAAAGGAAGCGAUUCCGGCUACGGAUGGUCAUGCGUCGCAUUAGCUAGUUGGCGGGGUAACGGCCCACCAAGGCGACGAUGCGUAGGGGUUCUGAGAGGAAGGUCCCCCACACUGGUACUGAGACACGGACCAGACUCCUACGGGAGGCAGCAGUGAGGAAUAUUGGUCAAUGGCCGCAGGGCUGAACCAGCCAAGUCGCGUGAGGGAUGACGGUCCUAUGGAUUGUAAACCUCUUUUGUCAGGGAGCAAAGGACGCCACGUGUGGCGUUUUGCGAGUACCUGAAGAAAAAGCAUCGGCUAACUCCGUGCCAGCAGCCGCGGUAAUACGGAGGAUGCGAGCGUUAUCCGGAUUUAUUGGGUUUAAAGGGUGCGCAGGCGGAAUGUCAAGUCAGCGGUAAAAUUUCGGGGCUCAACCCCGUCGUGCCGUUGAAACCGGCGUUCUUGAGUGAGCGAGAAGUAUGCGGAAUGCGUGGUGUAGCGGUGAAAUGCAUAGAUAUCACGCAGAACUCCGAUUGCGAAGGCAGCAUACCGGCGCUCAACUGACGCUCAUGCACGAAAGCGUGGGUAUCGAACAGGGUUAGAUACCCUGGUAGUCCACGCAGUAAACGAUGAAUACUAACUGUCCGGGCCGAUUGAGGUCUGG